AACGCACGAGACCUGCGGACCUGCGGAGGGAUCAUUCCAGAAAUUCUGGCUAGUUAAAGCCGGCUAUCGGAAGGUCAAGCGUUGAACUCUGAACAAGUUGGCAACUGGUGAUCAGUUGGAGGGGGGGUGCACCCGGCCCCCCUCACCCCACUAGUUGACGACUGUGAAGGCUGGGGUGCAGUUGUAGGGGUCGGUCACGGGGGCCCGCCAGGGCUCCUCACCCCUGCCCUCACAGUUCCA
rnacentral:misc_RNA from 1 species